rnacentral:rRNA from 1 species
CAACCUGCCGCUUACUCGGGGAUAGCCUUUCNAAAGAAAGAUUAAUACCCGAUGGUAUAAAGAGUUCGCAUGUUCUCUUUAUUAAAGAAUUUCGGUAAGCGAUGGGGAUGCGUUCCAUUANAUUGUUGGCGGGGUAACGGCCCACCAAGUCUACGAUGGAUAGGGGUUCUGAGAGGAAGGUCCCCCNCAUUGGAACUGANACACGGUCCAAACUCCUACGGGAGGCAGCAGUGAGGAAUAUUGGUCAAUGGACGAGAGUCUGAACCAGCCAAGUAGCGUGAAGGAUGACUGCCCUAUGGGUUGUAAACUUCUUUUAUAAGGGAAUAAAGUGAGGGACGUGUCCCUUUUUGUAUGUACCUUAUGAAUAAGGGUCGGCUAACUCCGUGCCANCAGCCGCGGUAAUACGGAGGAUCCNAGCGUUAUCCGGAUUUAUUGGGUUUAGAGGGAGCGUAGGUUGACAUAUAAGUCAGCUGUGAAAGUUUACGGCUCAACCGUGAAAUUGCAGUUGAUACUGUAUGUCUUGAGUGUACAAGAGGUGGGCGGAAUUCNUGGUGUAGCGGUGAAAUGCUUANAUAUCACNAAGAACUCCGAUUG